UAUAUGGCACCAGAAUAGGAGC
rnacentral:piRNA from 1 species